GGAGUCACGCCAGAAAUCUUACCCGGAGAGACAGCAGAAUGAAGGUCAAGCUGAAGACUUUACCAGACAAGCUGAGAGGUGGUGCAUGGCCGUCGCCAGCUCGUGCCGUGAGAUGUCCUGUUAAGUCAGGUAACGAGCGAGAUCCCUGCCACUAGUUGCUAUCAUUAUUCUCAGGAAUAGUGGGGCGAAUUAGUGGGACUGCCGUUGUUAAAACGGAGGAAGGAAGGGGCUACGGCAGGUCAGUAUGCCCCGAAACUCUGGGGCCACACGCGGGCUGCAAUGGUAGUGACAAUGAGUUCCAAACUCGAAAGAGAGUGGCAAUCUCUAAACGCUACCACAGUUAUGACUGAGGGCUGUAACUCGCCCUCACGAAUAUGGAAUCCCUAGUAACCGCGUGUCAUUACCGCGCGGUGAAUACGUCCCUGCUCCUUGCACACACCGCCCGUCGUUUCAUCGAAGUUUGCUUUUAGCGAGGUGAUGUUUAAUUGGCAUUAUCGAACUUGAGGUAAGCGACGAGGGAAAAGUCGUAACAAGGUGACCGUAGGGGAACCUGCGGUCGGAUCA
rnacentral:rRNA from 1 species